UGAGCAAUGUGCCCUUCUCUUUGGAAUAAGCGUUGGAAACGACGUCUAAUGCCGAAUACGACCUCCUUUCGCAUGAUCGGAGGUGGAAAGCUCUGGCGGAGAAGGAUGAGCUCGCGGCCUAUCAGCUAGUUGGUGUGGGUAAUGGCCCACCAAGGCGACGACGGGUAGCCGGCCUGAGAGGGUGACCGGCCACACUGGGACUGAGACACGGCCCAGACUCCUACGGGAGCAG
rnacentral:rRNA from 1 species